CUUUCCCGUUUAAUUGUUCGAAAACGCGAUCUGGAGCUUCUCCAUUUCCCACCAAAAUUGAGAGACCUCGCUAGGGAAUCCGAUGUUCGAAGUCCCAAUUCGUCUUAGCUGAGUUGGUGCUGGACGGAGUACUCCAACUAUUUGUUCUCUUCAUGUGUGCAGCGGAGUAUGGAUAUGGACUGUGAUUUAGAUCGUGGGGAAAUGGUUGAUAUAGUUGGAGAAUCCUCCAAUGAGUUUCAAGAGGGAGAGGUUAUAUUGUCUGCUGCACAGGUCCCCUCUCUGAACUGUAUGACAGUGGCUGUGCCUUCCCCUGCUCAGAGACUAGCUGCAUUGUCUCCAAUUAAGACAAUUGAAACUGUGGAGACCAUUGUAUCUACAAACCAAGUUAGCAUGUACUGUUAUGUUGAAUCACCUAAGCUUGGGAUGGUUUUUAAAAUCUUUGAAGAUGUAGAAUGCUACUACAAAGAAUAUGCUGAGCAAAAAGGUUUUGGUGUUACAAGAGUUGCAUCUAACUUUUCAAAGAAGGAUAAGGAGAGGAGAGGGGUAACAUGGAGGUGCGAGUGUUGGGGUCCACCCGAUAUGAGGGCAAGGAGGGAGGCCAAGAAGAGGGCUAAGGCCAUGGAAAUUUGUGGCAUAGGUGGUACAGUAAAUGGGGAAAUAGGAGAAGAUGUAAUGCAGCGGGCGAAAAGGACUUCGAAGAAAUGUGAAUGCGGUGCUAUGUUAUAUGCUGGGGUUGACUCUGAUGGAUUGUGGGUUAUAAGGAAACUUGAAAAAGAACAUCAUAACCACACCCCUAAACUGUCCGAUGCAAAGCUAGUGAAGGAAUAUCGAAUGAAGAAUUAUUACACAAACAAUGUUAGGAAGAAAUUGUUUAACUACUAUGAAGAAGGGGUUCCCAUAAGGCAAAUACAUGGGUGUAUGGCUACUGAGGCCGGGGUGGAUAACCUUCCUAGUGUUAAGGAUCUUGAACAUGAAGUCUACAAGGAAAAGGAAAAGCGUUUGAAGAUGGAAGGAGGUGAUGCGGCUGCAAUGAUGGUUUACUUUGACCGGAUGCAAGCGGAUAAUCAGAAUUUCUAUCACGCACAUCGGUUAGAUGAAGAGGGUCGUCUAAAGGAUGUACUAUGGGUGGAUGCUCGUAGUAGGGUGGCUUACGAAGAAUUUGGCGAUGUGGUUUGCUUUGAUGCUACUUACCUAACUAAUGCGUAUGAGCUUCCUUUUGCCAACUUUGUAGGGGUUAACCACCACGGGCAAUCUAUCUUGUUGGGUUGUGCCCUGUUGUCACAUGAGGAUUCAGACACUUUUGGUUGGGUGUUUAGGCAAUGGUUGUCUUGUAUGGGUAACAAAGAACCUGGGGCUAUUUUGACAGACCAAGCUCCUGCAAUGCGCAAGCCCUUGGAGCAAGUCAUGCCGAAUGCGCGCCAUCGGUGGUGUAUUUGGCACAUACUGAAGAAAAUCCCAGACAAGCUUGGAAAAUGUGAAUAUUUCACAGUUGCUGAAUUUGAGCGUAGAUGGUCAGAGCUAAUGACUAUUUAUGAGCUCGAGGCGAAUGAGUGGUUAAGCAACCUUUUCGAGGAAAGACAUAUGUGGGUCCAGCCUUUAUGAAAGAGCACUUCUGGGCCGGGAUGAAGACAACACAGAGGGUUGAAAGCAUCAACAGUUUUUUUAACGGUUUUGUUAACCGGAAAACAAAGUUAUAUGAAUUCCCGGAGAAGUACACUAGGGCAAUGGAGCGGCGCGUUUCAGCAUAAAUGGAUGCUGAUGCUAGGUGUCGCAAAUAUGUUAGGCGUCUUGUUAGUGGGUUCGAAGUCGAAAGGUUCUUCCAACAGAUUUAUACUGACACAAAGUUCCAAGAGAUACAGAUCGAGUGUUGUCGACUUAUGCAUUGUUCUGGUCGGGAAGAGCGUGUGCUGGAAGGCAACAUUAUUCAGUACCUACUUGAAGAUAGGGUUUGGAUAAUACCGGAAGGGCAGAGUGAAGAAGUCAUAACCGACCGGAGGCGUUUUUACAGUGUUCUUUUUAACACUGUUACAAAGGAUGUGUCCUGUGAUUGUAGGAAGUUCGAAACCUUUGGUAUUCUAUGUAGGCAUAUCAUCCGAGUAUACGAUCAGAAUUUGGUUCAUGAUAUUCCUUCGAACUAUGUUCUCCAAAGGUGGCGCAAGGAUGUACCUAGGAAGCACACCCGGGUUAAGGUUUCCUACCACGAUCCUACUGAUAACGUGGCUUUUCAAAUGUAUAACAAAAUUAUGGUUGAGUUUGAGCCAAUAUGCAAAGUAUCAUCAUGUGUUGAGGAAAAGGUAACAUUUGAUUUAGUUAUUUCGUCUCUCCAGACGCUACGUUUAGAAGUGCAGAGAAGCAGAGACAAGUUUAUAGAAAACCAACCAGCAUUGCCACCCUUGCCAAGGGACCUUUUGCCUCCCUCUGAGAUUGGUUCCAAUAAUCUUGAGUCUUGCCAUACCCCUGGUUCAGUUUCCAAGCCAGUGGGACCAGAAGGCAACCCAUCGGUUGUCUGCCCCGUAGUGAAGGAUCCUAUUUCACGCAAGAAGCCGCGAGGAAGGCCAAAGGGAUCCAGGCCAAAAAGCCUUGCAGAAAUGGGGUACAAGAAGACCUAUGCAAGAAAAGGUGAAAUGUGUUCUGACCAACCAAGCCAUGGAAAGCUACCUACAAAGAGGAAAAAAACACUACCUGUGCAACAUCAAAACACCAUUGAGGACUACUAUGAAUAUGUUGAAGAUUUUGAGGCGGCUGAUGACAUUCUUCAACGAAAUGGAGUUGGAUGGUCUGUUCCUUCGGAGACGUUUUGAAAGUACUGCAAUGUUAUAACACCCUAUUAUUGAUGAAGCAACAUACAUACCUGCUGGCUUUACAUGAAAACUUGUUUUGAAAACGUCAAACUUUGUCGUCAGGUUUAUGCACUGUAAUGUUAGGCUGUGGCUUGAACAUUAUUAUUUUGUAACUCACCUAAUGCCUAUUGUCUGCUUUUGCCUCUAUGUGUUCACCUUAGCUUCUUUUAUGAUGAUUGUAAUUCACUUUGGUUUCUGGCUUGAACUUUAUCGUCAGAUGAAUUUGAUGCAAUCAAUGGUGGACUUUAGAUUGAGUUA